rnacentral:lncRNA from 1 species
AUGGGUGUGUGUGUGUGUGUGUGUGUGUGUGUGGAGAGAGAGAGAGAGAGAGAGAGAGAGAGAGAGAGAGAGAGAGAGAUCCAGAGCGCCCGAGCGAACAAGCGAGCGCUGGAGCCCUGGCUGGUGAAGCACCUCUCACCUCCCCCAGUCCGUGGCCAAAGCUUCUCUCAUUCUCAGCGCUGGCGGCUGGGGCGGGCGGGGCGGGGCGGGGGAGGCGCGGAGUGGGAGGGAAAGAGGGAGGACGGGGCAGCCUGCAGGGGCAGCAGCUCCUGCCUUCUCUGCAGCUCAGCGGUCAGGGGUGGAAGGAAGCCGCAGUCUCAGCCCCAAGUCAGCCCCCGCUGCCCCGUCCCACCGUCUCAUCACUCCCCCCUCGGUCAUUUGCGUUUGCGAAUCAGCUUGUCAAAUUUUAGAAUUGGCUUUGUCGAGGCCAGCACUGGGGCAUAGCAGGUAAAGCCACUGCCAACAGUUCCGGCAUCCCAUAUGGGCACUGGUUCAAGUCCUGGCGCUCCACUUCCAAUCCAGCUCUCUGUUAUGUCCCGAGAAAGCAGUGGAAGAUGACCCAAGUCCUUAGGCCCCUUCACCUGUGUGGGACGCCCAGAAGAAGCUCAUGGCUCCUGGCUUUGGAUCAGUGCAGCUUUCGGAUUGAUGCAUCUCUGGCCAUUGCGACCAUCUGGGGAGUGAACCAGUGGAUGGAAGACCUCUCUCUCUCUCUCUCUCUGCUUCUGCCUCUUUGUAGCUCUGCCUUUCAAAUAAAUAAAUCUUAAAAAAAAUUGGUUUUGUCUAC